GCUGCUGUAGCUCAGUGGUAGAGCACUUCAUUGGUAAUGAAGAGGUCAUGGGUUCAAGUCCCAUCAGCAGCU
rnacentral:tRNA from 2 species